UGUUCUGUGGCUUAGUUGGUUAAAGCGCCGGUCUAGCGAAUACGGAGUCAUGGGUUCGAUUCUCACAAGAACAG
rnacentral:tRNA from 1 species